UCAUGAAGUGGAAUUGGAAACACCGUUACAGUCUUUGGAUCCUCAUCAAGAUGGUAUUGAACUUGUUGAAUAUCAAUUAAAGGAUCUCAUCAUGAUGAUCAUAAUUAUAUAGUUGUCAACGCAAGAAACAGGACUAGAAACCCAUAAAUCUACCUAAAAUCCAAAAGCAAAAUAUGCAAUGCUAUCUAUGUUGCCAUGAAUUCCUUUGACCAGUUUACAAGUGAUGUGAGCAUGUGACACAAGAAAGAAAAUAGGUGAAGUUUGUGGCCUAUUGCUCAGCCAUUUCGACCCAGAAAGUCAGUGACUUGGUUGAGAGAUUGAGAGAAAAAUAAAAAAAUGCUGUAAAGAGUUGUGGGUUUCUCCAACAUUUAUCACCUUAAGAUUGUUGGAGGUUUUUCCUGGAAUCUGAAGAUGUUCAAUUGUGAUCCUCAGAUUUCCGGCAAGCAUCGCGGGUUAGUUAUCCAAGUUAUCUAAAUUGCUGAGCCAAAUCUGGCAGACGCUUCAUUGGACAUCGAACCGAAUGUUUGAUCUAUAUGAUGCUCAAGUCCCUUGACUAAGCAUCUGAGCUAUCUGAUGAUCAGGUGUCUUGACUGAGCAUCCGAGCUAUGCCAAGGGUUCAAGCAUCUUUAACAACUUCUCUCUCUUGACUUCCUUGACCAAACUAUGUCACUCUUUGGUGUUCACAUCAGCACACACCCUCUGAACAAGAGGCAAUAAUCGCACCCCAAUCAGCACUUCCAUAAGUUGCAGCAAUUCCAACUAAGGUCAGAACAGCACUUUUCUUGUGAAUUUUGUGAUGUUGCCAUUUGAUUUCUGGUAGAGGAAUCUUAGAUUGCUGCUUAGAUUCAUUAGUGGGUUUAGCCUUUUCUUCUCUGUACAUAUAUAAAGAUGCAUUGGAGUGAGUUUCAGAAGCCACUACUA
rnacentral:misc_RNA from 1 species